CCUACGGGAGGCAGCAGUGGGGAAUAUUGCACAAUGGGCGCAAGCCUGAUGCAGCCAUGCCGCGUGUAUGAAGAAGGCCUUCGGGUUGUAAAGUACUUUCAGCGGGGAGGAAGGUGUUGUGGUUAAUAACCACAACAAUUGACGUUACCCGCAGAAAAAGCACCGGCUAACUCCGUGCCAGCAGCCGCGGUAAUACGGAGGGUGCAAGCGUUAAUCGGAAUUACUGGGCGUAAAGCGCACGCAGGCGGUCUGUCAAGUCGGAUGUGAAAUCCCCGGGCUCAACCUGGGAACUGCAUUCGAAACUGGCAGGCUAGAGUCUUGUAGAGGGGGGUAGAAUUCCAGGUGUAGCGGUGAAAUGCGUAGAGAUCUGGAGGAAUACUGGUGGCGAAGGCGGCCCCCUGGACAAAGACUGACGCUCAGGUGCGAAAGCGUGGGGAGCAAACGGGAUUAGAUACCCUCGUAGUC
rnacentral:rRNA from 1 species